AGGACGAACGCUGGCGGCGUGCUUAACACAUGCAAGUGGAGCGACGAACCAGGGCUUGCCCUGGGGCAGAGCCGCGAACGGGUGAGUAACACGUGGGUUACCUGCCUCGAUGACCGGGACAACCCGAGGAAACUCGGGCUAAUACCGGAUGUGCCCGCAAGGGGAAAGGAAGCUUCGGCCUCCGCAUCGAGAUGGGCCCGCGGCCCAUUAGCUUGUUGGUGAGGUAACGGCUCACCAAGGCUUCGAUGGGUAGCUGGUCUGAGAGGACGAUCAGCCACACUGGGACUGAGACACGGCCCAGACUCCUACGGGAGGCAGCAGUGGGGAAUCUUGCGCAAUGCGCGAAAGCGUGACGCAGCAACGCCGCGUGGGGGAAGAAGGCUUUCGGGUUGUAAACCCCUUUCAGUUGGACGAAGCUUCGUCGGUGAAUAGCCGGCCGGAGUGACGGUACCUUCACAAGAAGCACCGGCUAACUACGUGCCAGCAGCCGCGGU
rnacentral:rRNA from 1 species